rnacentral:rRNA from 2 species
UACGGAGGGUGCAAGCGUUAUCCGGAUUUACUGGGUUUAAAGGGUGUGUAGGCGGGCUAUUAAGUCAGUGGUGAAAUCUCCGAGCUUAACUUGGAAACUGCCAUUGAUACUAUUAGUCUUGAAUAUCGUUGAGGUGGGCAGAAUAUGUCAUGUAGCGGUGAAAUGCAUAGAUAUGACAUAGAAUACCGAUUGCGAAGGCAGCUUGCUAAACGAUGAUUGACGCUGAGGCACGAAAGCGUGGGGAUCAAACAGG